rnacentral:lncRNA from 1 species
AGGCGGGACUCCGGAGUGGGCGGGGCUCCGGCUCUAGGCAGGCUGCUAUGUUGGAUCAAGUAAAGUUCUAAACGCUGUGCACCUAUUUAGUACUGACUAGUACUAGGAAGUGUAUUUGCUUUUCGGAGAUGAUGGGAUCUAAAUUUUGUUUAUACCACUUCACGCCCAUUAGGAUGGCUACUAGCAAAACCCCCAGAAAUUAGUGUUGGUGAAGAUGUAGAGAAAUUGAAGCCCUUGUAUAUUGCUGUUGGGAAUGUAAAAUGGUGCAGCCAUGUGAUGAACAAUACUGCGGUUCCUCAACAAAUCAGUUAUAUGAUCCAGCAUUUUCUUUUCUGGGUAUAUAACCCAAAAGAAUUUAAAACAGGGUGUACAAGAAGAAAUGUUUUUACACUCACGUUGACAGCGGCACUAUUCACAAUAGCCAAAAGGGUGGAGGCAAUUUAAGUGUCCAAAAACAGAUACAUGGAUAAGCAAAAUGUUGUCUGUGCAUGCAAGGGAACAUUUUUUAGCCUGAACAAAGAACGAAAUUCUGACACUUGCUACUACAUGGAUGAACCUGGAGGACACUAUGCUGAGGGAGAGACUCCAGUCCCACCAGAUUUCCCACCGAUCUGCUGACAUGAUGCUCCUGCCUCUGCCUGGACUGCUGACCUCCCCACGUGCUUCUCCCUGCUUAUCCAAGCGCCCCUUUCCCACUGAAAGCAUCUCAGAACCCUGAAGAAGCUGCAUCCCUGUACAUCUGUCACUGGCAGAACCAGGAACCAGAACGAGAUCUUAUCAUAAAACCUAUGGAAGAAAUCGAGGAUGUUUGCAUAGGACGUUUUUGGAGAAUUUGGCCUUUUGAAAGAAAAUGUAACUAAGCUCUGUGGUUCUGAAAGCUUCCUCUACCUGAGAUGAUUUCAAGAUCUCCAGGACACCUGUGGGUAUCAUUGGUAGAUGCUGUUCAGGUAGUUAAGGUGAUGUUGGUGAGUAUUAUUUGAUAAAAAUGCUGGAUAUUACAUUAACUCACUUCCAUUCUAGACUGCCAGUAACUACUAUCACCUACCUUUUACUUCACCUGAUAGAGAUAUGGGAGUUAAAAGAAAAUUUUUCAUCACUAAUGGUAGUCUUUGAGCUAUAUAAGGUCAGAAACAAAAAUAUCCAAGACUGAUUUCUUACCUUCAAAAAGUAGCAAGCAAGGUAAAAGCAAAUAAGCAGAUAACUUCCCAUUUAUCAGAGAUUGGGUGAAAUAGGACUACUAUGCACUCCAGGUUAGAGUCAAAGAUGCCUGCCAGUCACAAGGACCUGUAACCCGAUGCUUGCGGGCAUCUGUGAUGAAUCCUAGCCCCAGAUGAAAUACUCCCAGACCAAGUGGUUUGGCAGGGUCCAUUCCACAGGGGCAAUUUGCAUCUGGCAGCUGAUGAUGCCCUCUGUCCCCAUUAUAACCCACAAUCUAUAAUAGAGCUGCUUGGUUGCUGUAUUUUCUGAAAAAUAAAAAAAGACAAGCUUGUGACUAUCGAAGACCCA